rnacentral:rRNA from 1 species
AUUUACGGAGAGUUUGAUCCUGGCUCAGGACGAACGCUGGCGGCGCGCCUAAUACAUGCAAGUCGAGCGGGGUAGCGCAAGCUACCUAGCGGCGGA